CCAACGUGACCUGCAGGCCCCUGCAGUGGGGUUGCCAUUCACACUUGUCAUCUUUAAAGUUUGGAGAGGUCAUGAAGUGAGGAGCUAGAAUGGUUAAUUUCUCAACUUUGCUGGAGUCUCCUGGGCUUGACCUGAUUCCAAGAGGAAUGGUGUCACUAUUAGAGGCUUUCCAACCUCCUUCCGGGAGCAGGCUGCUAUUGAUUGAAGGUGCCUCCAGGCUGAAACUCGUAGAUAAAAUAGCUCUUCUGUCUACACACAGAAGUAUGUACACAUGGAGAAAUGUUUUGUUAUCCUGCUUCAAGACACCACAGAGUAAACAUACCUCAAAACUCACAGAGGGAAGAAAAUGCAAAAUGAUGUCAGGAGAGAAGCAGAUCCAGGCGGAAUAUCACCAUGAGGCAGCAGAUCCUUGA
rnacentral:lncRNA from 1 species